GACGAACCGUGCGAACGUUGUUCGGAAUCACUGGGCUUAAAGGGCGCGUAGGCGGGCCAUCAAGUCAAGGGUGAAAUCCUGCGGCUCAACCGUAGAAGUGCCCCUGAUACUGAUGGCCUCGAGGGAGGUGAGGGGCGUGCGGAACUUCCGGUGGAGCGGUGAAAUGCGCAGAUAUCAGGAGGAACACCGGUGGCGAAGGCGGGUCUCUGGGCCGAUAUUGACGCUGAGGAGCGAAAGCGUGGGGAGCGAACAGG
rnacentral:rRNA from 1 species